rnacentral:rRNA from 1 species
UACGAAGGGGGCUAGCGUUGCUCGGAAUUACUGGGCGUAAAGGGCGCGUAGGCGGCACUGUUAGUCAGGCGUGAAAGUCCUGGGCUCAACCUGGGAACUGCGCUUGAUACGGCAGAGCUAGAGGAUGGAAGAGGGUCGCGGAAUUCCCAGUGUAGAGGUGAAAUUCGUAGAUAGUUGGGAAGAACACCGGUGGCGAAGGCGGCGACCUGGUCCAUUACUGACGCUGAGGCGCGACAGCGUGGGG